GUACAACCAAACAUUUUACAGGAGAGGAAACCAAAACAGCCAAAAACAUGCAAAGAAGUUUGUAUCUGGUUUCAGAAAAAUGCAAAUGAGAAAAUGGAGGCACAGAGUCCCUUCUCGAGGUCUCCCUGGAGGUAAUGAGAAUGGACUGGAAGAUGGAUCAGAUUGGUUCCUAAGCCUGGCAACCCCUGUUUCCUUGAGCCCUUAGCUCUGAACUGUGACAACUUUCCCUUGGAAUCACCCAGUUCCUUUCCAUGUCCAGCCCUUAACAUGCACUGUUCACCCCACCAGGAACUCUGUUCUCUGUUCUUUUCCCUGACUUCUUCCUCCUCCUCUAGGCUCUUGGCCAG
ensembl:lncRNA